GACGAACGCUGGCGGCGUGCUUAACACAUGCAAGUCGAACGGAAAGGCCCUGCUUUUGUGGGGUGCUCGAGUGGCGAACGGGUGAGUAACACGUGAGUAACCUGCCCUUGACUUUGGGAUAACUUCAGGAGACUGGGGCUAAUACCGGAUAGGAGCUCCUGCUGCAUGGUGGGGGUUGGAAAGUUUCGGCGGUUGGGGAUGGACUGGCGGCUUAUCAGCUUGUUGGUGGGGUAGUGGCUUACCAAGGCUUUGACGGGUAGCCGGCCUGAGAGGGUGACCGGCCACAUGGGGACUGAGAGACGGACCAGACUCCUACGGGAGGCAGCAGUGGGGAAUAUUGCACAAUGGGCGGAAGCCUGAGGCAGCAACGCCGCGUGCGGGAUGACGGCCUUCGGGUUGUAAACCGCUUUCGCCUGUGACGAAGCGUGAGUGACGGUAAUGGGUAAAGAAGCACCGGCUAACUACGUG
rnacentral:rRNA from 1 species